rnacentral:rRNA from 1 species
GAAACGCCUCAUGGGAGGGGUGAGAAUCCCGUCCGGUUGAUCAUUUGCGUUUUUCGAAACGCCUUUUAAAGAGUCAAGUUGUUUGGGAUUGCAGCUUAAAAUGGGAGGUAAAUUUCUCCUAAGGCUAAAUAACGGCGAGAGACCGAUAGCGAACAAGUACCGUGAGGGAAAGAUGAAAAGAACUUUGAAAAGAGAGUUAAACAGUACGUGAAAUUGUUGAAAGGGAAACGAUUGAAGCCAGUCGUACCUUCGGGUAAUCAGCCUUUCGGGUGCGAUUAUGUGGAGUGUGAGGAGCUUAAACACCUUCAUGUUUUGCAUAUUCGUACUUACUUUAG